rnacentral:lncRNA from 1 species
AGACGUUCAAGAAGAAAAUCAAAGAAAGCCCAUACUUGGGCAUGACCAAAUAAGAACAACUCUCUUAUGAGAACUUCCCCAAGACUAAUCUUACGGGAUGCGAGUGGCUGAUCGAUUGGUUGCAAUACGCCAAUCGACCAGCCAGUCUCAUCUCAGAAUCUUCAUCACAGUUGAGGGCAGUUACGAACUUAUAAAUGGGUCCGUUAUUUAACUCUUGAAACAUAACUAGGAGUCCAUGGUUCCCUGUAAGAUCAGUCCUAAAAACAACCUAAUUACGCCGACUCAACUAU